GGGUCAGUAGGUUGGUCGUGCCACCGGUACGUACUGGUCUCACUGAUUCCUCCUUCCUGAAGGACCGUAAUGCCAUUAAUUUGGUGUUGCGGGGAAACAGGACUGUUACUUUGAAAAAAUUAGAGUGUUUAAAGCAAGCUAACGCUUGAAUACAUUAGCAUGGAAUAAUGAAAUAGGACGAUCGAUCCUAUUUUAUUGGUUUCUAGGAUUGACGUA
rnacentral:rRNA from 1 species